AGAUUCUCGCUAAAGCGCAGACGCGUCUAGCGAGACUCGACGAGUUAAGACAAGCGGCGAAGACGAGCGUGGAGAUUCGAUCCGAGAGGGAACGCGUGAAGCUUGGCACUCAAGUGGAGUCCCGUGUCCUAAAGGCUGAAGCCAAUAGGAUGAGGAUUCUCAAGGCGUCUCAUCAGAAACGGGCGUCUGCGAAGGAGAGGACGUCUCAGUCGAUGAUGAGGAGGAUGGCGAGAGAGAGCAAGUACAAGGAGCGUGUACGCGCUUCGAUCAAUCAGAAACGUGUAGCUGCUGAGAAGAAACGGCUGGGG
rnacentral:lncRNA from 1 species